GUUCUAAAAACAUAUUUUAGGGUUUGAAGCUGGCUGGUUACACAGUUUCACAUUUUAAGAUUUAGUGUUUGCUCAUCUAUCAUUGUAUAAAUAGUGAUGGGUCAUUUUCAUUUAAUGUUGUUAAACUUGACUCAUCUUGUUACUUUAAUUAGCAGUUCUGAGAGUAUAGUAAAGGUGGAAGUUAUCAUAUUCUUUGUGGUGGAAAAUUAGUGUACUUUGACCUAUUAUAACUGCAUUUACAUAUUUAGAGAUAAUUACUUAAGAAUUCUGACUUGUCCAUACCUUUUCUGUAGUCAAACAUAAAGCCUGUGUACCUGUAUAUACAUUUUUUUUUUAAAUGGAAUUGGCAAGUUACAUGGAAGUCCCUCCAGAUAUCAUGUGCCAGAGGCUCUUGUGGACCACCCGUAUGCUAGAGCGCCUCUCCAGCCUCGCCCGGCACUUUGUAUGUCCCUCGGCUGGGUUUGUUUUUCCUGGUAGGAUGUAUCAGCACCUGACAGGCAUACGUUGUGUUUGCCUGCCUCUCCCAGUGAGCGUAUAGGCUCAGGAGAGAAGGCACUUAGACUGUGCUAGUCCCUGUACUUAGAACAGAAUCUGAGAGUAGUAGAUGCUCAGUGAGUCUGAUGAACGCCAGUAUAAAAUGUCCAAAGUUUGCUGCCUUCGUGCCCCACAGUUUAACCUGCCUAAAUUGGAAAAUAUCUAGAGCUGCUCUGGAAAGUGAAUUUCAUGUUGUUUGCCAACUCCACUUGCUUGUUGCUGCCUAGGUUGAGAGAACCGGCUCAUGGGAAAGAAAGCAGUGAUUGUUUAGUAGUGGCUGUGGGGCCACAGGAGAGGAGAAUGUGGCAUACACGUGAGGUACUGGUCAUCCCCAGUGUAAUGAGCCACUGGAGGGCAGGAGAUGGCGCACUUUGGGGCUCCAUUCUUUUGUAGGUCUUCUGGCUUUCUCUGUCCUUGCCCUUGGCAAGUGUUUGUGGAUACUUAAC
rnacentral:lncRNA from 1 species